rnacentral:rRNA from 1 species
UACAGAGGGUGCAAGCGUUAAUCGGAAUUACUGGGCGUAAAGCGUGCGUAGACGGUUACAUAAGUCGGGUGUGAAAGCCCCGGGCUCAACCUGGGAAUUGCAUUCGAGACUGCGUAGCUAGGGUGCGGAAGAGGGAAGCGGAAUUUCCGGUGUAGCGGUGAAAUGCGUAGAGAUGUGGAGGAACACCGAUGGCGAAGGCAGCCUCCUGGGCCAGCACUGACGCUCAUGCACGAAAGCGUGGGGAGCAAACAGG